rnacentral:pre_miRNA from 1 species
AUGUUACCCCCUCCGUCUGGAAAUGCUUGUUGGAAAAAUAGAUAAAAAAUUGAUGUAUCUAGGACUAAAAUACGUUUAGAUACGUUUAUUUCUUUGACAGGUAUUUUCGGGCGGAAGGAGUACAUU